AGGUAGGAGGGAGAACAUUUUAUCUGCAAGAAGUAGAAAAGAGACUGGACUAUCUUGGUUGGAAUAGAGGCUUCAUGGGAGAGGAAAAUGGAAAGUCCCUUGUUUAGAUUGAAAAGUCUGACUCCAUGUGUGAAGAAGAAGGUGGAUGGAACAGAUGCCUCACAUCUGAUGAGCUGCUUGGGGAAGACUGUGGUGGGUUGGAUACUUUCAUUUUCUCAGUAAAAACUGUGAAAUCUAACACAUGUACAGGAAAGCAUAUAAAAUAUAUAUGACCUUUAAAGAAUAAUAAUGAAUACACAUAUUGCCAUCGCUAAAAGUGAGAAUAUUACCAAUAAUCUACCAGCUCUGAGACUGUCCUUGAGUGCAUUUCCCUUUCUGCCCUAAGAAUAACCAUUAUGCUACCUUUUGUGAUAUUUGUUCUUUUGCUUUUCUUUGUUAUCACCUAUAUAUAUAUUCCUAAAAAUACUAUUAAGUUUUUCAUGUUUUAAAACUUUAUCUCAAUUUGCCAUAUGUAUUCCUUUCUCUUUUCUUUUGUAAAACAUUAUGGUAGUGGAAUGUGUUCAUAUUAUUGCACAUGGUUGUAGUUCAUUCAUUUUCAUUGCUGGGGAAUAUUCUAUUAUGUGAAUAUACUACUAUUUACUUAUCUAUUCUAGAUAAGUGAACAUAUGGAUAGUUUCCAGUAUUUGGCUAUUGCAAAUAAUGCUGCCAUGGAUAUUUUGAGUGCAUCUCCUGAUUUAGACAUGCAAGCGUCUUUGUACAUACAUGCCUAUGCUGGAUUGCAGGGUUAUGGGAUGUGGAUAUUUUUACUUUUCUGAGUAAUGCUAAACUCUUUUCUCAAAUGGUUGUAUCAAUGUUCAGCGUUACUGACUACACAUUGAGAGAGAGAGAGUUCCUACCUUUUUAUACUUACUGGUGUUCAUCAUCUAGUGGCUUUAUAAUGAUACCUCAGAGUGGUUUUAAGUUGCAUUUCCAAAGAACAGUAGUGAAGUAUAGUAUAUAUUUUUGUUUAUUGAGUUAUUGGUCACUGACUGGUUAUUGGUAAUUUGAAGUUUAUGUACUGUUAAUUACCUUUUCAACUCCUUAACUCUUUCUCCAUGGGGGAAGUUACUGGCUAGGUCUGGGUUGCCCAGAAGCAGAGCUUGCUGCGAAUGAAUGUAUGCUAGAGAUUUGUCAUGGAAAGCACUCAGAGAAAAGGAGACUGAAGCCUGGGGGUGGGGAGAGCACAUCUCACACAUGUGAGAAUAUUUUGCCCACCAUCACUUCCCUAUUCUACUUAAAUAAUAAAUAUAUUAUAUAAUCAUGGUGACUUUUAAAUAACUGCGUAUAAUAUUUAAAUAGAAGCAUUGUUUAAGAAAACUCAAUACUGUGAAGAUAGCAAUUUCCCAUUAAAUUUAUCAAAAUAUGAACUUUUAAGAGAAAUCAGUGGAAGGUCUUUGGUUUGUUUGGCUUUGCUUUUGGUUUUCAGGAAAGAUACUUGGAGAAAAUGAAAUAUAUGAAGUAAUGAAAGAGAAGAGUAAUGAAGAAAGACUUGCCUAUAAUAUGACAUGCUAGCUGGAACAGUAUUUAGACACAUCAAGUGGUAGAGAAAGGGUCAUUUAGAAUAAAUGAGGAAAAUCAAAGUGUUCCAAAAACUAUACAGAGACAAAUGGCAGUCAUAAAAAACAAGGAAUGAAAAACACCCCCAACAAAACAGGCAAGACAAACCAAAGACAAACAAAACCAAAAGGUUAAAGCUAUACCUAAACUCUAUAUCACACCCCACUCCCAAAAAUUUACAGGUGAAAUUGGUAGAGUAGGAACACUCUAAUUAUUAUACAAAGUCUAGAAACUAUAAAAUAUUGGUAGAUUAUUGGUAGAUAAUGAAAAAACAUACCAUAAAAUAAAAUUUAAAAAUAAUUUCUAUAAAAUAUUUGCAGUAUCUAUUUCUAGAUAAGGCAAAGUCUUAUAAAUUAAAAAUUAAAUACCAACUUGGAAAAAAAAUGUAAAACUUCACAAAAAAUACAAAUGGUCAUGAACAUUGAAACUAUGCACAUCCAUCCACACUAGCAAUCAAGUAAUUUUUUUCACCUAAUAGAUUUGUGAAGAUUUAAACAGUGGAUGAAACUCAAGAGUAGGGGAGGCCAUGGGGAAGGAAGAACUUUUACACAAGUUAGAUGGGUCUGUAUAUUGUUAAACUGUCAAUAUAUUCUUAUAAUUACACUGUACAUUAUAUAACUAUGCUGUGUAUUGUCACAACUAUAAUUAAAAAUGGGCAAAACAUUUGAAUCAGUAAUUCCACUUUAGAAACUUAUCACAGAGAAGUAAUCAGACAUUACAUAAAGGUAUGAUGACAGAGAUGCUUGUCAAAAUGUCACUUAUAACAGUGAAAAGACUGAAGUCUAGUAUCUUUACUAAUAAGGGACUUAUUAUAUUUUAAUCCAAAUGUAUAAUGGAAUUCUACUUUGCCAUUAACAUUGAUGAGGAAUAUCAUGCAAUAACAACAAACUAAUGGCCUCUCAGAAAUAAGAGGACUCAAAUGAAAAAACAAUUUUGCAUUUAAUAAAAAGAGUUAAAUCGAUACACUUCUAUCAGCUAAAGAAAUAAUGACAAGUAAACUUGUUAAUUCUUUGCAAAGUUUGGGUCCCAGGGUAUAGUGUGAAGAGAGAAAGAAAGUGUUCGGAAGAAAACCACCUGAAAUUCAGGGUUAUCACUGAGAAAUGACAGCCCAGGGAAGGAAUUCUAGGACCUCAGCCCUUCUUGGCACACCUACAAGAAAGUGGGUCUUCACACAUCCUUGGAGUUCAAUGGAAAUCGAUGGGACGAAUGAGUUGUACAGAAACAAAGACUGGGUGAAAUCCUGAGUGGAAUCAAAAUGGGAAACAAUAGAAGGGUUUCUAGUGUCAGCAAUGUUUGUCAAUGUGAGCAUCAAUGUUUGAGAACAUCUCAGAAGCUGCAGACCUGUUGGUCCUUCCAGAAAUUCACAUGCUUCUCACUGUAAAUAAACCUGUGCUAUAGAGAUUUUGGAGGCUUUGCCACCCCCACCCUACAGCAUCCCUGCAAAGUUUGCUCUUUGAUUGGAAGAAAGGAUACUUGGCAGUGUUUUCAAGAUGGGUUGGAAUUAUAAGGAUCCUGUUUGCCACUGUAACUGAAAUAUUCCUAAAAUAUUAGACCCUCAGAGAGAGGAGACCAAGGAGAAUAGGGCAGGAUUUUUAAACCUCAGCAUUAUGUUCACUUCGUGUGAGUGAUUCUUUUUAUGUUAUGGAGGCAGGAUUACCCUGUGCAUUGCAGGAUGUUGAGCAGCAUCCUUGGCCUCUAUCCUUGCCCCCAUUUGUGACAUCAAAAAAAAAAAAUCUGAAAUAUUGCCAAAUGUCUUCUGAGCAAAAUUUCCUCUGGUUGAAAACUAUUGGCAUCAAAAUGGAAUAAUAUUUUAUAAAGUGAGAUGGUAUCUUUAAGUGGGAAAAGCAGAUUACAAAGCAGAAUAUGCUAUAAUCCUAUUUUUACUUGAGAAAGCAUAUCAGGCAUACAGGUAUGCAUUAAGUGAUUAUGAGUGCUAUUUUAUUCUAUAUGUGUUUUGGUAUGUUCAAAUUUUUUGACAACAGACAUGCAAUUGUUACAUUGAAAGAUAAACAUAGAUAUUUAAAAUCUUAAUAUAUGCAUAGAAAAAAUCUUGAAAGGAUACACAGCAAAAUGGUAAGGAUAGUUACUUCUUGGUUUUAAGAUUUUUCUUUUUUCCCCUGUUUUUGUCUGCACUUUCUAAAUUUCUUAGAGUGAACACAUACUAAUUUUGUAAUCAGAAACAAAGUAAACAGAAAUUAUUUCAAACACAAAUCCCAGAUUUUAACUAACCACUAGAUGCCUACAGAUAAUUAGGCCCAUUAAAAUGUAUGCUUCUAAAUUUAGUUGUUCAAUCCAUCUUAACUCUUAGACAUGGUUUAAUGACUUUUCCUAGUUGAAAACAGUAAGUUUCACAAAUUUUCUCCACUCACCUCAUCAUACCUCCAUUCCAACUGAAGAUUCCCUUCUUAUUUUAAUGUGGAAAUGGAUACAAUCUAGUGUUGACAUCCUCAAUAGUUCUCCCCUCCAAAUUUUUCUGCAUUUUAACAUUCUUCUGUCUUAGCCUCUGUGUUCUGUAAAGAAAGCUCUUAAGUAUUUUUUCUGAAAUCCCCAAAUAAAGUUUUCCUCUUUUGCUUUUCCUACCAAAAUUAAGAAUCCAUGAAGGAAAUAAGAACUUUCUCCAGUCAAGACUAUGGUUCAUAACUAAGAUUUGGGAUCUUGAAUUGCCCAGGAGGGUUUUCUUUACAAGGCAUGCUUGUCUCUUGUCUCAUGUUAAACAGAGAAACUGAGGAUAGGAAAUGAGCAUGUGAAGCUUGACAGACCAUCUCCACCUUAUCCCAGGUCAAGUAACAGAGCCUCCCUAACCCCCUGUAAUUCCUGCAGAGCUGCUCUCCCCAGUCCUACACCUCUGUCACCACGUCGUUGACCAUGUGACCCCAGCUAGGCACUUACAUAUCCUCUGCCUGGAAUGUGAAUCAUGAGUGGAGACACACAGGACAGAAGGUAAUCAGGAAUAGAUUAUAUGGUGCCAGAGAUCGCCAAAGUUGCCAUGGUUCUUGAGGGGUCAUCAGCUAUACAUUCCUGAGUAUUUACCCAUUCCCUACCCAGUCCAGUUCCCUAGAGAAACUUUUCAAGUCCUAGUUUUCCAUAUCUAGGUUGUGAGAAAAACCUCCUGAACCUACUGUUAAUCUAAGGCUUAGUUCCAUUGUAGCAGAGAGUAAACCGUAGUGUGAGUAAGUGCUUAGGAAAGUCUCACGCCUACCUAGUGAAAACCCACAGAUAGCUGCACCAUCAAAUGGAUGCUUUAACCUGAAACAGAGAUAGUAAUUAAAUUAUUAAAGGCUGAAAAUAUGGCAGUGCUGAAAACGAGGCAGGGGCAGACCAAUGAGAUUUUUAAUUUUGUGAAAUUCUCCCACAUAUACCACAGUCUCAUUAAAUUAGAGUGCAAAGCUUGACAUCUCCUGGGUCAAACUAUAGGCACUGCCUUGGAGAAGAAUUGAAGAAUGGACCAACCAAUCAACUAACCAACCAAACCAAAAAAACAAUGAACCAGAAUGGAGUGGAUGGACACCAGCAGCAGUGUUUUUCCUUUCUAUCUAGAAGAGAUCCUAUAACAGAGUGUCGGUCUAAGUUGUCAAUGUAAUUUCAUUGCUGUAGGAAUGAUUUUGAAAGGAGAGUCAAUUAACUAAACUUUGGAAUAUCCAUCAAAUAUUACAUGUGUUUGCCUUCUAAAAGAUCAGGACUUCUAUAUUCCUAAAAGCAAUACAAAAGAAUCUUAAUUUCAUUGCUUUGAAUCAUUCUAAGUUUUGAUAAUUUCCCCGUGUUAUACAGUUGCUAUUAUAUAUACUGCCUUCAGCCCAUAUUUAAUAUCCAGGUACAAAAGCAAAGAUUAAUUUCACCAUUUUAUAUAUGAUAGGCUGAAACACAGAGAGGUGAAAUGACUUGCCAAUGUCAACUAGCUAAAUGACCUGAAAAAUCACAAAAACUCAGAUCCUCUGAACUAAAUGUCAUUUCUACCAUGCUGGUUAUCAGUUAUCAUGCCAAGUUUAAAUCAGAUGAUUCAUCAAAUUAUCAUAACUGAAGCAGUACCUCACUAAAAAUAUUCCACAUUUGGUAUAGUGCUACGAGGAAAUGCAGCUUGUAAAGAAAUUACCCACUCUCAGGAUUUCCUCCAGCUAUUCACAAAGCUAUAUAAUGAUCCUAUUGGUUUAAAAGGUUUAAUUAUGAGGGUUGAAUAUAGUCUCUGAAGAUUAUGAAUAAUUAAAAAUUGAAUGUAUGAAGUUAUUUAUAUGGUCAGAGUAUAUGGAAAAGAAAUAUAUACUCACUUUUAGAAACUACCAAAAGUAGAGAUAAAUAUGCUACCAUGUGCCAAGACAAAACCUAUGAAUGGACAGUUGACUGUGAUAAUAUGGUCACCCUCACCUAAGGGAAUUGAAAAUUUUGCUGCUGAGGUCAGUGUUUGGAGCAUCUGGGUAUCAGUACCUCAGUUAAGAAAUAAAAACUUCAAGUAGGCCAUCCAAGAUGCACUGGUCCAAGUACCACCUCUACUUCUGAUAGCUGUGGUUCCCUCAUCUCCCUCCCCUGACAGCAAACUCCCCCAGUGCAUGAGGCCAAGCUGCUGGGAUGUUCUGCAGGCAGGCCAGGUGUUCCGGUCUGUCUCUCUUCCUUUCUCCCUGGGUGUUACUUUCUGAUUGAAAUCAAAGACUAUGAGCAAGAAGAAUUACAAAACCAGUCCUUAGAGUCACAGUGUUUUAAAUUUCCAUUCUAUCUUGUCUAAAGUCUACUAAACCAAGGGACAAAUGAAUGAACCCACUUAGCCAAUUGGAAUUAAAAAAAAAAUAGAAGAGGACUUUUAAUUAUAAACCUUAGGAUCAUGUUACUCAUUAGUCAUACAUACCGGUAGGAUGACCACCUAUCCUAAGACUCAGGACUUCUGGGAAAGUGGGAGCAAAUCAGGAUGUGGAUCACUCUAAUACCUGUAUGUCACCAUAGAAGAUGCAAUAAAUUUUCAAAUGCUGGUGAAGGUAGUCAGAAUAAAGUCACUUUGCUGUCACCAAACAUAAUUAUGAUUUUGUUAGGUUUAAGUUUAUAUAUUGAAACUUAAAGGAUCAAUGCUGGAUGGUCCUUAAUUCUAAUUCAACCUAUAGCCUAAAAACAUAAUCAAAAUAAAAAAAAAAAAAAA
rnacentral:lncRNA from 1 species